rnacentral:rRNA from 1 species
UACGUAUGGUGCAAGCGUUAUCCGGAAUCACUGGGCGUAAAGGGUACGUAGGCGGUUUUGUAAGUCAGAAGUGAAAGGCUACGGCUCAACCGUAGUAAGCUUUUGAAACUACAAGACUAGAGUGCAGGAGAGGCAAGUGGAAUUCCUAGUGUAGAGGUGAAAUUCGUAGAUAUUAGGAGGAACACCAGUGGCGAAGGCGACUUGCUGGACUGUAACUGACGCUGAGGUACGAAAGCGUGGGGAGCAAACA